CCUACGGGAGGCAGCAGUAGGGAAUUUUCGGCAAUGGGCGAAAGCCUGACCGAGCAAUGCCGCGUGAAUGAAGAAGGUCUUCGGAUUGUAAAAUUCUGUUAUUUGUGGAAGAAAGGUAGUUGGAGGAAAUGCCGAUUACUUGACGGUACCAAAUGAGAAAGCCCCGGCUAACUAUGUGCCAGCAGCCGCGGUAAUACAUAGGGGGCAAGCGUUAUCCGGAAUUAUUGGGCGUAAAGCGUGCGUAGGUGGUCAGUAAAGUCUGACGUGAAAUACCCUGGCUUAACCAGGGGGGGUCGUUGGAAACUGGCUGACUUGAAUCCAGAAGGGGUAAGUGGAAUUCCAUGUGUAGCGGUAAAAUGCAUAGAGAUAUGGAGGAACACCAGUGGCGAAGGCGGCUUACUGGUCUGGAAUUGACACUGAGGCACGAAAGCGUGGGUAGCAAACAGGAUUAGAUACCCGAGUAGUC
rnacentral:rRNA from 1 species